AGAGCAGAACCAAGACGGAAAGAAGGAGAGACAGGACAAGUUCCUCCACUUCUUCUUCUACUUAUAUGAGUGCUUGCUUCAUCUGGGUCAUCACAGACACACACAAAUAGAAGAAAGAAAAGAAUGAAACGGAGUUGAGGGAGAAGGGAGGAGUGACCGAAACUUCAAUUUUGUGUGGCUAGGAUUUUUAAUUCAAGGAAGAAGCACAAACAGAAUUUUGAACUUCAAAAGAGAAAUUCAAUGGGUUCAUGAGGAUAGAAUUACAUUGUUCACCGCUGAUGGACUGGUGCAGAUUGGAGGCUCCAUCACCCCUCGCCAUGUUAGCUCUUCAGAUGUAGUACCGAAG